rnacentral:tRNA from 1 species
GAUCCCGUAGCUCAGCAGGUAGAGCACGCCCCUGAUAAGGGCGAGGUCGGCAGUUCAACCCUGUCCGGGAUCACCA